AUGGAGAUUCAAGCGCUGUCCUCCACCAGUGCUUUCGUGCGGCUCCACCACACCGGUGCUCUUCCCCGACGGGGUGUUCGCAGUUGGCGGAGAUUCAAGCGCUUCGCCGGCAAGGUGUUCGCAGUUGGCGGAGAUUCAAGCGUUGUCCGCCACAGGAAAGCGCCACCGGUGCUUUCCUAUGGCUCCACCACAUCGGCGCUUUCUGCCGAUGAGGUGUUUGCAGUCUACGGAGAUUCAGGCGUUGUCCGCUGCCCCGGUGCUUUCUUGCGGCUCCACCACAUUGGCACUUUUUCCUGGCGAGGUGUUCGCAGUCGGCGGAGAUUCAAACGUUGUCCGUCGUCGCCGCUUUCCUGCGGCUCCACCACACCGGCGCUUUCCGACGGUGAGUUGUUCUCAGUUGGCGGAGAUUCAAGUGCUCCGGCGGCGAGGUGUUCGCAGUGGUGGAGAUUCAAGCGCUGUCCGCCACUGGCGCUUUCUUGCGGCUGCACCACAGCGGCGCUUUCCGCCGGCGAGGUGUUCCCAGUCGGCAAAGACUCACGUGUUGUCCGCCGCCGACACUUUCCUUCGGCUCCACCGCAUCAGCUUUGCGCGAGAACUCGAGGUAUGCUGUGCGCACACCCUAUUCCCAUGUGCUAG
rnacentral:rRNA from 1 species